UACGGAGGAGGCUAGCGUUGUUCGGAAUUACUGGGCGUAAAGCGCCCGUAGGCGGAGUGGAAAGUUGGCUGUGAAAGCCCGGGGCUCAACUUCGGAACUGCCUUCAAAACUGCCACGCUUGAGUUCGAGAGAGGUGGGGGGAAUUCCCAGUGUAGAGGUGAAAUUCGUAGAGAUUCGGAGGAACACCUGUGGCGAAAGCGGCCUACUGGCUCGAUACUGACCCUGAGGUGCGAAAGCGUGGGGAGCAAAAAGG
rnacentral:rRNA from 1 species